AUCCAGCUGGCGAAUCCUAAAUAGGAUGAAACGUAUGUCCUGAAU
rnacentral:hammerhead_ribozyme from 1 species